rnacentral:rRNA from 1 species
CCUACGGGCGGCAGCAGUGGGGAAUAUUGCACAAUGGGGGAAACCCUGAUGCAGCGACGCCGCGUGAGCGAAGAAGGAUUUCGGGAUGGAAAGCUCUAGCAGCAGGGAAGAAAAUGACGGUACCUGAGGAAGAAGCUCCGGCUAAAUACGGGCCAGCAGCCGCGGUAAUACGUAUGGAGCAAGCGUUAUCCGGAUUUACUGGGCGUAAAGGGAGCGUAGGCGGCCUGCCAAGUCUGAUGUGAAAUACCGGGGCUCCACCCCGGGGCUGCAUGGGAAACGGGCAGGCUGGAGUGCCGGAGAGGCAGUCGGACUUCCUCGUGUAGCGGUGAAUUGCGUCUCUCUUAGUCG